GACGAACGCUGGCGGCGUGCUUAACACAUGCAAGUCGAACGAUGAAGAAGAGAAACGCGAACUUCGGUUCAAAUUUCACUUCGGAUUAGUGGCAGACGGGUGAGUAACGCGUGAGCAACCUACCUCUUACAAAGGGAUAGCCUCGGGAAACCGUGAUUAAUACCAUAUGACACAUUCAUAAGGCAUCUUAAGAAUGUUAAAGCUACGGCGGUAAGAGAUGGGCUCGCGUCCCAUUAGCUAGUUGGUGAGGUAACGGCCCACCAAGGCGACGAUGGGUAACCGGCCUGAGAGGGUGAACAGUCACAUUGGAACUGAGACACGAGCCAACCUCCUACGGGAGGCAGCAGUGGGGAAUAUUGCACAAUGGAGGGAACUCUGAUGCAGCGACGCCGCGUGAGCGAUGAAGGAAUUCGGUUCGUAAGCUCUGUUUUAUGGGAAGAAAAGGACGGUACCAUAGGAGAAAGCCCCGGCUAAAUACGUG
rnacentral:rRNA from 1 species